rnacentral:rRNA from 1 species
UGACGUAGGCGGUUGCGUGUGUCAGAUGUGAAAGCCCGGGGCUCAACCCCGGGACUGCAUUUGAAACUGCGUGACUUGAGUAUCGGAGAGGUAUGUGGAAUUCUUAGUGUAGCGGUGAAAUGCGUAGAUAUUAAGAAGAACACCGGCGGCGAAAGCGGCAUACUGGACGAAUACUGACGCUGAGGCACGAAAGCCAGGGGAGCGAAGA